rnacentral:rRNA from 1 species
GACGUAGGGCGCGAGCGUUAAUCGGAAUUACUGGGCGUAAAGCGUGCGCAGGCGGUUUGCUAAGAGAGAUGUGAAAGCCCCGGGCUUAACCUGGGAACUGCGUUUCUAACUGGCAAGCUUGAGUGUGGCAGAGGGGGGUGGAAUUCCACGUGUAGCAGUGAAAUGCGUAGAGAUGUGGAGGAACACCGAUGGCGAAGGCAGCCCCCUGGGCUAACACUGACGCUCAUGCACGAAAGCGUGGGGAGCAAACAGG